CCUACGGGAGGCAGCAGUAGGGAAUCUUCCGCAAUGGACGAAAGUCUGACGGAGCAACGCCGCGUGAACGAUGAAGGCCCUCGGGUCGUAAAGUUCUGUUGUUAGGGAAGAACAAGUGCUAGUUAAAUAAGCUGGCACCUUGACGGUACCUAACCAGAAAGCCACGGCUAACUACGUGCCAGCAGCCGCGGUAAUACGUAGGUGGCAAGCGUUGUCCGGAAUUAUUGGGCGUAAAGCGCGCGCAGGCGGUUUCUUAAGUCUGAUGUGAAAGCCCCCGGCUCAACCGGGGAGGGUCAUUGGAAACUGGGAAACUUGAGUGCAGAAGAGGAAAGUGGAAUUCCAAGUGUAGCGGUGAAAUGCGUAGAGAUUUGGAGGAACACCAGUGGCGAAGGCGACUUUCUGGUCUGUAACUGACGCUGAGGCGCGAAAGCGUGGGGAGCAAACAGGAUUAGAUACCCUGGUAGUCCACGCUGUAAACGAUGAGUGCUAAGUGUUAGAGGGUUUCCGCCCUUUAGUGCUGAAGUUAACGCAUUAAGCACUCCGCCUGGGGAUCGGUCGCAAGACUGAAACUUAAAGGAAUUGACGGNUGAGAGUGCGAGCGCACGAGGAGAGG
rnacentral:rRNA from 1 species